UUUAAAAGCAGCGAUGCUACUCCUGAGCCGUGAGAACACGCUCAGUUCUUUUGACAUUGAUGCUCUUUUUGCAAAUUAGGUUAAAAUUCUAGGCGACCGUAAAGAAUAAUAAUGCAAUUGGGUGACAGACAGGACUGCCUGGAAUAAAUGGACUGCACUCCACAAGGAAUCCCUCGGCUCUGAAGAAACAUCCACAAACCAUCAUCUUGUGGGAGGGGGGUAUUUGAAGACGUAGCCAUAGCUGGCCCUGUACAAAUGUCGGAAAAAGGCAGCAUGUAAAUAUGUUGCACCACAAAUAUAAACAGAUUUAGGACUGUACCCUCAAAAGUGUAAUUGCUUUAAAUAUCUCAAAAAUGUAUUUAGGCAUUUUUAUGAGAACAUUAAUAAAGGCUAAGAGUGUGAUAACGUUGCUAAAUAUGGAUGCUUCAUGUAUCAACUGUAUAUGUAUGCUGUUCUUAUCACUUGGAAGUCAAACUGUCUUAAGCAUUUGAAUGUGCUCACCUUUGACAGUAACAUUACUCAAAGCGUAGAGAAGGCCAGACUCAACAACAAGAUCAAUAGUGUUGAGACACAGGCUAAAUUAACUCAUUUAUCUGUGAUUCACUGCACAACCUGAAUAUAGUUUCUGAGAAAUAUAUAACUUGCUUUGGAAAGCUUCAAAAAGAUAGCUUUGUUUCCAAAUUAUUGAAUGCAUCAAGUACACAGUUUUAGAAAAAUAUCAACAAAUAAAACAAUAACAGGACACAUAGAUGCAUAGUAACAAACCAAAAGAGAGGGCACAACUAAAGAAACCGAAGCAAUGUCAGAAUAUAUCCAACAUUAUUGUUGGUAUAGCAUGCUAAAUACAAUGGUACAAUAGUAAUACAUAAUAAUAAUAAUAAUACUACAGGUGAGAGCUUCCUGCAGGAUUUUGAGGGAUCUCGUUAAUUCAGAAAAACUGAACAAAAUAUUUUUUUCAUGAAGACUUCUCUCAUAAUUCUGAGAUAAUUAACUCGUUAAUUCCAAAAAAGUGCAGUUUUUUUUUUUUCUCAAGUGAAUGCAUUACGCUUCCAUAGAAACCAAUGUGAUACACACAUUACUUUAGCUUUCUAGAAAAAAGGUUUGGUUUAAAAAUGCAUUUAUGGCAAUUAUGGCUUUAUUAUUGUUAACAGAGUCACAGGGAAAAGAAGAUGUCAGUGUACAGUGUGUCACAUACUGAACAUGCUCCUAAUCUUAUUGUUGAUUGUACACACACAAGAUAAAGAUGUCGAAUACAGUUUGUUGAGACAAGCCAGUUUCAUCUUCAAUCGUGUAUUACAGAUCAUCUAUCAUGGUUCUACUGCUUAACACUGGAAACAGAAGCACAUUUAUUUACUUAUUUAUAUGACUUAUGACCAUUUUACAUUUUAAUUUAUUUUACUCACUUUUUUCUCUUUUUUGUCAUUUUGGUUUUCCACAUACUUACAGAAUAUGACCUUAUAUAUCAUAAUAUUAUAAUAAUAUUAUAUUGACCUUAGUAUUUCAACAUUUAAAGGUACAAACCAACUACAAGAAAGCAAGGGGGAACAUUAAUGGUGCCUUCCCAUUGUGUGAUAAUAAAUUUGCUUUUUAUAUCAGCAAUGCUGUUGACAUUUAAACUACUUAUCUGAUGACAUACAUGAGUGUAGUAACUAUCCAGAACUGUCUGUAAAGUUGAAGUUUGUGCAAUAAAAUAUGAACAGUGAAA